UACGUAGGGUGCGAGCGUUAAUCGGAAUUACUGGGCGUAAAGCGUGCGCAGGCGGUUUUGUAAGCCAGAUGUGAAAUCCCCGGGCUUAACCUGGGAAUGGCAUUUGGGACUGCAAGGCUGGAGUUUGGCAGAGGAGACUGGGAAUUCCUGGUGUAGCAGUGAAAUGCGUAGAUAUCUGGAGGAACACCGGUGGCGAAGGCGGCAUCUGGACCAUAUUGAACGCCGAGGAGC
rnacentral:rRNA from 1 species